rnacentral:rRNA from 1 species
UAUUGGUCAAUGGGCGGGAGCCUGAACCAGCCAAGUCGCGUGAGGGAAGACGGUCCUACGGACUGUAAACCUCUUUUGCCGGGGAGCCACGGGGUCCUUGCGAGGGCCCAAUGAGAGUACCCGGAGAAAAAGCAUCGGCUAACUCCGUGCCAGCAUCCGCGGUAAUACGGAGGAUCCGAGCGUUAUCCGGAGUUAUUGGGUUUAAAGGGUGCGUAGGCGGGCUUUGAAGUCAGCGGUAAAAAUUCGGGGCUCAACCCCGUCCGGCCGUUGAAACUGGGGGCCUUGAGUGGGCGAGAAGAAGGCGGAAUGCGUGGUGUAGCGGUGAAAUGCAUAGAUAUCACGCAGAACCCCGAUUGCGGAGGCAGCCUUCCGGCGCCCUACUGACGCUGAGGCACGAAAGUGCGGGGAUCGAACAGG